UUAAAGGGCGAAAGAAUGAUCAAUUUUGAUGACAUUAGCCAUGAGCUGUAACAGUGUUCCCAACUUGAACAUCAUCUUCUGAGUACAUAUCUGAGGCAGAGCCAGCUUGCACGUCCUGUGUUGUGGACAUCCGUGUUAGAGCCAGCUUGCAUGUCCUGUGUUGUGGACAUCCGUGUUAGUGCUAGCUUGCACAUCAUCUGUUGUGAACAUCCGUGUAAGAGCCAGCUUGCACAUCUUCUGUUGUGGACAUCCGUGUUAGUGCUAGCUUGCACGUCAUCUGUUGUGAACAUCCGUGUAAGAGCCAGCUUGCACGUCAUCUCUUUUGGGCAUCAGUAUUAGAGCCAGCUUGCACAUCUUCUGUUGUGGACAUCCGUGUUAGUGCUAACUUGCACGUAAUCUGUUGUGGACAUCUGUGUUAGAUCCAGCUUGCAUGUCAUACGUUAAGGACAUCAGUCAGAGAUAGCUUGCAUGUUAUUUACUUGUGGACAUUAGAAUCAGAGCCAGCAAGGACAAUCUCUGUUGUGGAUAUCUGUCUUAGAGCCAGCUUGCACUUCAUCGGUUGUUCACAUCCUUCUAAUAACCAGCUUGACCAUCAUCUGAUGUGGAAAUCUGAGUCAGAGACAGCUUGCACAUCAUCCGUUGUGAACAUCUCUUUAUGAUUUUACUCUUUGCUUAGAUUGACACUGUGACUUUAGUGUAAUACGUUGCAACCUUAAGCUAUUCCUAUUGUUGAAUAAAAUAUUGUGUCAUUAAAAUAUAUUUUGUUGGAUAA